UACGUAGGGGGCAAGCGUUGUCCGGAAUUACUGGGCGUAAAGAGCUCGUAGGUGGUUUGUCGCGUUGUUCGUGAAAACUCACAGCUCAACUGUGGGCGUGCGGGCGAUACGGGCAGACUGGAGUACUGCAGGGGAGACUGGAGUUCCUGGUGUAGCGGUGGAAUGCGCAGAUAUCAGGAGGAACACCGGUGGCGAAGGCGGGUCUCUGGGCAGUAACUGACGCUGAGGAGCGAAAGCGUGGGGAGCGAACAGG
rnacentral:rRNA from 1 species